UCCAGGAGCACGGAGCGAAGCUAAACAAGUCCAAAGAGCAGAGCCUGUGCUACUCAGAGACCCAGCUCACCACGGACAUCAUGCCAGACCAGAAGACCUUCGUGGACCAGAAGGCAGGCGGCAGCCGGCACCGGGCGGGCGGGAUCCUGCCCCUCGUGCCCAUCCUCCUGCUGAAGCUGAUGGUAUAGAGGGCGAGGAAGGCAGCGGGACGGGGACCCUGGCCCAGGUGUGCCCCCCUCCCCCAACACACACUGGCCCCCACCUCGGCUCCCACCAGGGACAGGAAGGACCAUCCUCCUGCCAGAGACUGAACCGCUGGAGAUGCCGAGCCCCGGGCACGCCGGGUGGCAGGAGGGACCCUCACCACGUUGGAAAACUUUGGUGGUUUUCUUCCUCUUUUCAUUUUUCCCUCUUUAUUUUUUUUAUUUUUUUUUUUUUUGGCCUGGGGGUGGGGAAGGUCUUUUUUGGUGCAGUUGGGUUUCUCUUCUAAAGCAGGAGCCCGCUGCUCGUGGUGAACCCCCCCCUGCCACAGGGAAUUCCGAGCUGCCAGAGGCACCGGGGAGGGAAAAUAAUCCUGGAGAGGAGUUUUGGCAGAGGUUUUUUUGCCGGACCCAUCAUCCUGGAGAGGCCAUGGGGAGGCCACGGGGACGGCGAGGUUUCCACAUUGAAGCAUCCUGAAGGAUGGAGGUGCCAUCAGGAGGCUCUUCUUCAUCCUCCGAGGGGACUCGUUCCAGCUCUUGAUGUUGUUAUUGGGGUUGCUUUGGGGUUGGGUUUUUUUGGUUUGUUGGUUUUUUUUUUAAUUCAUUUCCCAUGGUUGGCGAGAGUUUUCAAAGGGAAAGAGAAAAGAAGCUCCUGUUCACACGUCGUGAGGUUGUCCUGGUGUUCCCAAUCUGUCACUUGGAGGGGGGGAGAGUUUUCUUUUAUUAUUUUUUGUUUUCUUUUUAAACAUUUGUCCAGUCAAAUUUGGGUUGGGAUCUGACCCGACCUCUAUGUUUCCCUCCAUCCUCUCCAUUUCCUUUCUUUUAUAUAUACAUAUAUAGUGUAUGUAUAUAACGUUCACCUAUACCUACAUAUAUGUAUGUAUAGACAUAACCAUA